UACGUAGGGCGCAAGCGUUGUCCGGAAUUAUUGGGCGUAAAGAGCUCGUAGGCGGCCAGUUGCGUCUGCUGUGAAAUCCCGGGGCUCAACCCGGGCGUGCAGUGGAUACGGGCUGGCUAGAGGCAGGCAGGGGAGAACGGAAUUCCCGGUGUAGCGGUGAAAUGCGCAGAUAUCGGGAGGAACACCGGUGGCGAAGGCGGUUCUCUGGGCCUGUACUGACGCUGAGGAGCGAAAGCGUGGGGAGCGAACAGG
rnacentral:rRNA from 1 species